rnacentral:rRNA from 1 species
UACGUAGGGGGCAAGCGUUGUCCGGAUUUAUUGGGCGUAAAGAGCGUGUAGGCGGCUAGGUAGGUCCGUUGUGAAAACUCGAGGCUCAACCUCGAGACGCCGGUGGAAACCAUCAGACUAGAGUCCGGAAGAGGAGAGUGGAAUUCCUGGUGUAGCGGUGAAAUGCGCAGAUAUCAGGAAGAACACCCGUGGCUAAGGCGGCUCUCUAGUACGGUACUGACGCUGAGACGCGAAAAGCGUGGGGGAGCGAACAGG